rnacentral:snoRNA from 1 species
UUGCCAUGAUGACUUCCAGUGGGUUUCGCAUAUUGCUGAGCUCCAAUGAUGACUCUUCUCUUGGCUGUCUGAGCAG